AGAGCCUGAAAAUGAUAAAUUCAAAUGAUUAGAUCUCAUCCACAAUCAAUAUUUUAGUCAUGCAUGAAGCCAUGAACUAUUUCUUUGUGCAAUUUAUUAUGGUACUUUGUUUGAGACUUAGGUUUUGUGAUUAAUUUUGAUCUGUGUUUUAUUAUAGGUAAUACUUCUUUCAAGGAUCUUGCUUGUGAUUCACAAAGUUACAUAAAAAUUGUGGUACAAUCAAUCUAACUCUCUUCUAAAUAAGGCUCACUACUACCCAAAGAAAGGUGGGGCUAUAAGUUAGUAGACUCUUCUCAGCUAAGGUUAGAGAUCAGAUUAUGCAUUGUAUCUGGUCAAUUUGCAAGUUUGAUGUUACUACUUUACACCCACAUUUUGCAUGUAUCCAGGAUAGGGUUUAUCCAGGUACAUUUGAAGAUAAAAAUAAGAAGCCCUUCUUCAAAGGUUGUCCUACUCUAUAGAAAGAUGUAAAUCCAUAAGGUAUUGGACCAGAGGAAGUUAAAACCCACAAAAAGAAGAAGUGUUGUAAAAGAGAACAAAGUUCAAAGGCUAUUGGAAUAUCCUUAAUUAUUGGGAACAUCCUUAACUAUUUAAACUUGAGCAGAAAGAUAUGCACACUAUUUAUUCGAAUAUCCUUGAACUCCUUACUACUCACUCAUUUGACAUUCUCAUACUUCUAAAAUUCCCCAUUCUUUGAUUGGUGAUAUAUUUACAAAGUCAUAUAAAGUCCAUAUGUUAUAAACACUAAAUGCCAAUAUAAAUACACUUGAAACUC